ACUGCGAGUGCGAAUGCCCCAGAGAGCGACAGCAGGGCCUGCGAUCCAUUGAUCUGAGCGACUGGCGAGCCUGGGCAGGGGCUGGGGCAGGCGAAUCUGGCUUUGGGGGAAGAGGAAGAAAAGUCGGAUUACAAGAUCAACCACCACCACCAACAAUAAAAACCACCAGGAUAUUUUUUUGCAAAUUUCUGACGGCUUUAAAUUCAUGAAGCAAUUGUCCCCUUUUGCAAUCAGCAUUUGGAUCUCAGAAUGAGCAAGGAAAGACCCAAGAGGAAUAUCAUUCAGAAGAAAUACGACGACAGUGAUGGGAUCCCGUGGUCAGAAGAGAGAGUCGUUCGGAAAGUCCUUUAUUUGUCUCUAAAGGAAUUCAAGAAUGCACAGAAAAGGCAGCAUGGGGAAGGCAUUGCUGGGAGCCUGAAAACAGUGAAUGGUGAGUUG
rnacentral:lncRNA from 1 species